rnacentral:rRNA from 1 species
UAAUGAUGGGGGCGCUGUCUCCAGCAGAGACUCAGUGAAAUCGAAUUCGCCGUGAAGAUGCGGUGUACCCGCGGCUAGACGGAAAGACCCCGUGAACCUUUACUGCAGCUUGACAUUGAACUUUGAUCUUACUUGUGUAGGAUAGGUGGGAGGCUUUGAAGUCGCGACGCUAGUUGCGAUGGAGCCGUCCUUGAAAUACCACCCUGGUAAUAUUGAGGUUCUAACUCUGUCCCGUUAUCCGGGACGAGGACCAUGUCUGGUGGGUAGUUUGACUGGGGCGGUCUCCUCCUAAAGAG